rnacentral:rRNA from 1 species
GACGAGGGGUCCAAGCGUUGUUCGGAAUUAUUGGGCGUAAAGCGGGUGUAGGUGGCUCUAUAAGUCAGAAGUGAAAGCCCCGGGCUUAACCCGGGAAGAGCUUUUGAUACUGCAGAGCUUGAAUGUGGGAGAGGGUAGUGGAAUUCCAGGUGUAGUGGUGAAAUACGUAGAUAUCUGGAGGAACACCGGUGGCGAAGGCGGCUACCUGGCCCAACAUUGACACUGAGACCCGAAAGCGUGGGGAUCAAACAGG